UCAUUAGGCUAUAUAUUUGCCACCAUCAGUUUGUCAGAACCAUACAACAAAUAGCAAAAACAAUCCCUUUCACUCCAUAUUCAGAAGGAACAGAUUGAAUUUUUCUGGAACUUCGGCGAAGAGAGAAAUAUCAGUUUCCCCACCACCGUCCAUUUCCUUGCCACAUUUGGACCGCCAGAUUGUCGGAACUAACACUGUGCACAUCCCGUACAAUCAAAAGGCUUGCUAUAUGGAGAAAGAGACAGAAAUCGCUGCUCCGUUUGCUGGUCCGUUCAUUUCUGCUACCAUCCUUUCUCUUCAACGGUGUAUUCAAAAGAUUAAAGUGUAGUUGGGAAUAUAGAACCUUUGGGUCACUUUGUAAGGUGCAAGGUAGAGCAUGGAAGUUGUAGGCGACUUCAGUAUGGAUUAAAUACUUAUAGAAUUUUAGUUAUCUUUAUUCUGUAAUUCAUGUUUUUUGUUAUAGUGGAGAUUAUUU